ensembl:lncRNA
AUGGGAACAUUGAUGCAACAUGAGCUAGGAAGGUACAUAAGGUCAGGACUUUUUAGAAGUCCUGCUUUGUUUUUUCAAGUGACUUACAGAAGAUCUGCAUUAGUGUGUAGAUGGACACUAAUGGCUUUGCAGAUUUUCAUGUCAUUCUGGAAAGUCCUGUUUACUUUCAUUUGGCUGGUGAAGCUUCUUCCAGGCACACAGGGUCACACUAAAGCCCAUGGAGCAGCACGGUGGGGACAAGCCCUGCAGACACAGGGUCCCUGCAGAAAUCCGGCGUGUGGCACAGGAGACAAAGGCACUCUGAAGUACUUUCUCUUGGAAACCCUGGCUUCAUUUUCAAAAAGCAAAGAGAUGUUGUUUGGGAGACACGAGCAUCUGCUUCGUGACUUCUCGGUGCAGGGGACAAGCAACUCGCUGGUGUCUUGCCAGAUGGAAGGCACCUGGCUCUCUAGACUGCCAUCCACAGACGAGCCGACGCACAUGCACACACCUGCCUCAGACAGGAUGAAAAUGAGGCAUGGCAUCUAUUGCCAAAGAAAGGUUUCUUCAGUACCAGAAUUACUAAAACUUCCUUAAGAUAUGCAGGAGUGCUUCCAGAUUGCAAAAUGAAAAUCGCUGCCCAGAAUCCUGAAUUCAAAGUAGGGAAAUAUCCCUUUAAAGAAACCCAUUGGCAAUAUGACUAAAGGCCCUAAGGCCAAGUUGAUCUUCAACACAACUCCACUGAGUCAAGAGAAAUACACCAGGGAUAAAGUUUGGCCUGAUAGUGAAAACCACAGGCAAGUGAAAAUGAUUCCCACAAUCAAGCUGAUCUGAAAAAUGCACUUAAAUUUUGCCCUUAAAGGAAUCAUUUUCCUAACAAUAAUGGAUAAAAUGAAAUGCUUGUCAAAAUUAUUACAAGCAUAUGGGGAUGAGACGAUCAACAUUUUAUGAAUUAUUUCCUUCAGCAGCAAUAUGUUUGCUUCAUUCUUUAGCCAUUCUUCUUUCUUUAAUUCCAAAGCUUGUGACCUUCCUGCUGGCUCUUCUAGAUUUACUACCUGCCCUGUUCAUUCUUGGCUUGCUAGAGCCACACAGAUGAUGUGUUUUGGAUGCUUAAUCCCAGCUUUGCCACUGUGUUAAUGUGGCAUUUUGUUGAGUAUUUUUCGGGCCAGUAUCCUUCGAGUCCAUCUCUACUAGUUCAUCAAUACUUGAACUGACCCCCAGGCAAUGCUAAGGGUAAGUAUCUGAUAUUAUCUCCCAGGACUGAGUUCUUGGUUCUCAGCUUAACACCUUACAAGGAUACCUAAGCGAAGAUGCUGUUUAGAAUGAAGACAAAACUUUCUCAGAAAGCUGUUUUGGAAUGUGGGACUUGCUUCCCAAGAGAGGAGAAUGAAUGACCACAGAAUUAAUCUCUUUCAAAGCUCUGUCCAAAACUCAUUUGUUGUGUUUAACUUGUUCUCAGCAAGUCCUAAACAUACGCUCAGAAACAAAGAGUGGAAAACUCAACUGUAGUUGUUCACAAAGGCAAACAAAACCCAAACAGGAGCAACUUGCCAGUGUGCUGAAAAGGUCGCUACCAAAACAAAACAAAACAAAACAAAACAAAAACUUCUAUAAAAUAAUUAUUUUUUUUCACUUAAAGUACUGAAAAGAGAAAAAAAAAAGAGAGAGAGAGAAAGGAGAAUAUACAGAGUCUUUUUUUGGAUGUUUAUCAGCUUGGGAGGGGUUACCAAGAACUCCAAGGCUUUUUCAUUGGCUUUUUCACCCUCUUGUACCUUCCAAGAGGCAUCAGGCCAUCUGAAUUACAUUCCUCUUCCUCAGUUAUGUAGUUCUCAGUCCCAGAAUUCAUGGUUGUGAGGGAGGGCUGGAGACUCCUGCCUGAUCCCCAGCACUUCAGGUAUUCACAGAUAUCGCUCCCGCACCUCUGUGUUUAACUCAUGUUUGGCAAAGUACAACGUGAUCUAAAUCAGGCAUCCCAGGAGGGCAGCCAGCUUGGAUUUGAAGGCAUCACGAAAUGUGAAUCCUAUCCUGGACCUGGAAUUCUUCCCAAAGAUUAAGCAUCUUCACUGAUAAAAUGCAUGCUACUUUCUUACUCGAAAUUACCAAGCCGUAGUGUGCUUGUCAUGGGGCCAAAGACCCCUUUCCUCCAGCAUCGCUUCCUGAAGGUGCUUGCACACUGUCAUAACAUCACCUCUCACUUUGCUUUUGAAUAAAUUUAGCAGAUUGAACUCCUCA